GUGAGAUACCACAGACCAACCAAGGUCAUCCCCAGCAGCCCAUAAAAAUAGCUGUGGUUUCGCUGCCUGACUCAUAACCCACAUGUGUGUUCAGCACUGCUGUGUAGGGAAGUGGCGUCAGCUCACCCCAAGCAGAGAAAAGAGAACCUCUCCCCGCACGGAGUGCCUCUCCUCUGUGGCAGUGUGUCCUGGGAAAGCUGAGAGCUGAUUGGCUGUGGCGGGCCCAGAGAGGAGCCCAGGGACCCUCCUCCUCCUCCUCCUCCUCAUUUUCAUCCUCACUGCUGUGCAUUCAUCCCCGCAGCGACUCCUCAAUCUGAAACAGCACUUUACGACGCUGACCUGUACGCGCCCCCCCCCCCCCAUCACUGUUGGUGCACAGCCCUCGAUCCAGUUCUAUUUAAGCCAGCUCUAUUUAAACAAAAGUCCUGAAAAGCACAUACUUGCACUCUUCCCCCCUCCCCUCCCUCUCCUAACCACUAGCCCUGACCAGUUCUCGGGGUGGGGUUCUUCAUGUCCAGCCUGUUUGAUCUUUAACACAGACAUGCUACUGUAGAUACGCUAAUAAGCUUAGCGGUAACGCAAACAGCAUCCAAGUCUACUACUACUUAAUACUUACAGGACACUAGCCAUAUUGCAGAGGCACUCGUUCUUUGCAUUCUCUCUCUCUCGGUCUCUCUCUCUUUCUAUCCCGCCACACUCCCCCAUCCCUUUUUCUUUUUCUGAUGGACGGGACCGAUGGACGCUCACAGACGGACACACGACAUGAUUGCACAUCAGAGACAGAGACUCUGUGCAAGCCUCAGGGCAUGAAGACCUGGUUGGUUGGUUGGUUGGUUGGUUGGUUGGUUGGUUGAUUGAUUGAUUGAUUGAUGGACGGAUUCAUAAAUGGGAUGACAAUUUUGAGGAACGAGUGAGGAAGUAGGGAAAUGGAGGAAAGGAAGUCUCCGUCAGCCUUCCCUGUUCCCUGUUCCCUGUGGUGCCUUUUCUUCAGGGCACAGGACACACUUAGUGCUAGCCAGACUUGUUGAUUGACAAGCCCGCAGCACCGAACUGCAGUGACUGACGUCUGGUGGGGGUUGGCCCCUCACUGUGUCUCGUCACUUGUAUGUAUGUAUGUAUGUUUGUGUAUGUGUUGUUGUUUUGUUUUAUUUUGUUGUUUGUUUUGGUUUGUCAUCAAGGAGAUUGCUGUGCAUGUGAGGCCAAAGGGAGAAGCUGUUUUCUGCCAAGCCUCCUUUUUUUUUUUUUUUACUCCCCGUUUCUUUCAUACUGUUUUCUCCCCAUAUUUCACCCCUUUUUUUUAAAUUGGACAAGUUAUUUCUUUCUUGCUGAGAUUGUGCUAGAUGUUGUAACUCUUUUCAUUCAGUGUCAAAUUGUUUCCUCAUUCUCUCACUUUCUCUCUCCCUUGCUCGCUCGCUCGCUCUCUCUCCUCUCUCUCUGUUUUGCCUGUACUUGCCUGCUUUUUUCUUUUGUUCUAAGGGUCCUGUGUCUUGAAACUGAGUUUAUCUGUAAACAAAACUGUCUUGUCAAAAACUGUGUUGUAUAUUAAAAAGAUUUUUUAAAAGAUGGAAAAAAAACCUUAUUGUGAAUAAAACACUUUACUGUGGAAGAGUGUUGAUAUAAUCUGUGUGUGCGUGUGUGUGCGAGCGCGCGUGUCUGUGACAUUAGUGUGUAAGCUAUCUUGUGUUCGAUAUUCUCCAUGGGGAUUUUGAUUAUUGAGGGGAUGAAGUAUAUGAAUGUAAACAUAUUUGUGAAGCUGAGUGAAAUCGUGUGUGUGUGUGUGCGCGCAUUGGGGAUCAGUGUGAAAUUUUAUGAAACACAACCAGCAUAACUGCUCAAAUAUGAUUAGUCACAAUAACGGGUCAUUCUUGAUUAAAUGUCCCAAAAGCUUCAGUAGACCGCCCACCUAGCCUACCUUUUGAAGCUAAAUUUCUGUCAGCAGUAUACAAUGUAAGUAUGUUUGUAUGUAUGGCCGAACCUUGCUGUCUGCAGUGCUUCUGUUUUUGUCCACCAGAUGGUGCUAGAACCUCAGUUUUAUCCGUGAGGCAUGUUAAAAGAGCAGUUGAGUCAAACCAAGGCCUUGCAUGCCUGAACAGAGCUGGACUGUUUACUCUCAAGGGCAUCUAGAAUUUGAAGAUAUUAAGUCCAAAGCCAUAUGUUUUGGGAUGUCUGUAUCAAUUCCCAUAAUGACUGAAAUAAAGACCUGAAGCGGGUGAUA
ensembl:lncRNA